GCAGUUAUAUAGUAGUGAAGAGUAUAGCAUUGAAGGUAGCGAAGGUAGUAGCGAAGAUAGCGAAGGUAUCAAGGGUAGCGAGGGUGGCAAAGGUAGCGAGGGUAGCGAGGGUAGCGAAGGUAGCGAGGGUAGCGAGGGUAGCAAAGGUAGCGAGGGUAGCGAAGGUAGCGAGGGUAGCGAAGGUAGCGAGGGUAGCGAAGGUAGCGAGGGUAGCGAAGGUAGCGA